UGUGGCUCAUGCCUGUAAUCCCUGUACUUUGGGAGGCCGAGACAGGUGCAUCACAUGAGGCCAGGAGUUCGAGACCAGCCUGGCCAAAAUGGUGAAACCCUGUCUCUACUAAAAAUACAAAAAUUAGCCAGUCAUGGUGGCAGCACCUGUAAUCCCAGCUACUCAGGAGGCUGAGCCAGGAGAAUCACUUGAACCCAGAAGGUGGAGGUUGCAGUGAGCCAAGAUCAUGCCACUGCACUCCAGCUUAGCCAACAGAGCAAAACUCUGUCUCAAAAAAAAAAAGUCUUAUUCGAAUAUUUUACUGUGUGCAUUUGUAUUACUUUUGUGACAUAUAUAAUUUUUUAAUGUCUGGAAGCGGAAGAUACUGUUUUUAUUCCCUCCCCCUCCCCCUGGCCCCGAUAUAUUGAAAACUCUAAAGUUGUUAUAUCCUGGAUUCUGUUUCCUCCAUGAGGAGAAAAGUUUGUUAUCUGUCAUAUGCACUUAAGCACCUGAUGUUUUUCUCAUUUUCUGGUAGGUGGUGCAGACCCCUGUCCCCUCCUCCUCACCCCUACCUUAACAGGGAGAAGCUGCCUGUGGACAGCUCCCAGCUGCACAGGGAAAUCGCUGAAGAUUUCUAAUAGGGAAGUGUCACACUUUGCCAACUCUGGAGAAGACAGAAUAAUUGGCUGGAAUCGCAGACCGGGUCUUGUGAAGGUGCAGUGACACAAUGUGCAUGAAAGAGGCUCGAGCAGGACCUGAUGCACAAGGAAUGGAAGACCCCAGGAUUUCCCCAGGAGGGAGUCUGGCAUCCUCGCCAUCGUGGUUGGCUCCUGUGCUCACCCAUCGAGGCCACUCAAUGCUGCGCUGGGGUGGGAGAUUCUUUAUUGAGGAAUCUGCAGAGGUCAGGGGAAGGCAGGAGCCAGGGCCACAGGGGAGGCCGGCCAAGGACAGCUGCCCACAGCAGGCCACAGCUGGGGCCCUCCCCACACUGCAUGCUGGCUUGUUUUUCAUGCAAAACCAUGUUAUGUAAAUCAGUGCUGGGUUGAGCACACUCAAGUCAGAGUCACGAAUUGGGUCCCCCACCGCCCAUCCAGGGUGUCUGAAGGCCUAGGCCAGCAUGCCCAUUAUUCAGCCAGAGCAGGUGGCCGAGCCAGCUGGGCUCGUCCCCAAAUACUUUCAGGGAGGGACGCUAGGCCUAGGACCCGGGGUCUACAGCCCUGAGGGGAGGGGGCAGAGGAUGCAGCCUUGGAAAGCCCAGUACCUGACCUCCUGCUCCAGAUGCCUGGCUUCUCCAGGGCACCCCGAUGGGUGGCUCUGCCACCCCAGGACACUGGACUGGGGCCACCCUUACAGAACCGGUUCGAAGCCAAACAAUGGCACGUCACAGUCCAGCUGAGCCGGAGGCCUCAGCAGGGAUCCCAUCCAGGAUCUCACAUUCUACGUCGUUGUCAUUGUCUUGCCUCCUGAGGCUCCUCUUGGCUGUGACCACUUCUCGGACUUUUAUUUUGAUGAAAAUAUUUUGAUGACCCUGACAGUUUUGAGAAGUCCUGGUUUGGUGUCUUGGAGGAUACUGCUAUACUGGAAUUUGUUUCGUGUUGUUCUCAUGUUUAGACAGGGGUUAUGGGUUUUUGGGUGUCUGAUCACAAAGCCGAGGUGCCGUUUUCAUCAUGUAUCCUAUCAGAGGUCCUAUCAACUGGAGUUACAAAGAUGCUGACUUUAUCACGGGUAUCCGCUGGGUUUCUGCACCGCAGAAUGAGCCCCCUUCUCCCGUUCCACACUGUACUCUUUGGGAGGAAGUCACUAAGUGCAGCCACACAUAAGGCCUGGGACUUAUGCUUUCAGCCCCAACUCAUUUAGGGUGAAAUAGUGACAUAAAUUGGCCUGGUGCAGUGGCUCAUGCCUGUAAUCCCAGCACUUUGGGAGGUCGAGGCGAGCGGAUCACCUGAGGUCAAGAGAUGGAGACCCUCCUGGCCAACAUGGUGAAACCUUGUGUCUACCAAAAAUACAAAAAUUAGCUGGGCGUGGUGGUGGGCGCCUGUAAUCCCAGCUACUUGGGAGACUGAGGCAGGAGAAUCGCUUG
rnacentral:lncRNA from 1 species